AGAGUCUGCACGAGCAGCGCAUGCUCCUGGGUCCAGUCUGAUAGAGACGAGAUGGCGGCAGCAGCGUCUAAGAGGAUGAGCGUCCGACAGAGAGUUCCUGCUAAGAGCGACCGGGACCGGACCAGCCAGGAAGUCAGCACCGGGGUGAGUACCUGGCUCUGGGACCAGUGUGACAGUUUAAUUGGUUGCCACAUGAACUGGGGAUGUUACUGCAGAAGUUCAUGCGGUCGCUCUGAUUUGUGCCCUGGUGGUUUUUAAUCUGUGUGUGUGCUGACAUCCAGCCUGUACGGGCAACAGGAUGAGGGAUUUGUUGAGUCCAGAUCGCCGUUGAGUCAGGACGCUGAAGUUAGCUUCCAGUUCUGCACUUAAGGGAAAGUUAACUUACUGCUGAGCUUUUGCUCCUCUUGUUGUGAAAGCUGUCAGACAUUUUAAGUUUUAACUCUGUCUGAAAAUCCAAAAAAGAAACUUCCCCAUCGUAGGACUACUAGGAAAAGAUGUGAGUCCGGCUGGACCUGCUGGGACUUUGUAAACAAAUCUGAGGCGCUAAAUCUGUACUGUCAGUGUGUUUUCUAUAGAGAGCAAAACAUAGUGAGGGCUACAUGGAAAGGAGGGCAGAAGAAGGAAGGAAAGAUACAGAAAGACAGAGAGAAGCAAACUGAGACAAACAUUUGGAAGGUUUAGUAGUUAAAGGACUGCAGCCCCAAGUUGUAGCAGUAUCUUGGAGCUGAAUUUUUCUCUUUAGUGUUUAUUCAGAAUAUUUAAUAAUUCACAGACUCAGCUUUAAGAUUUCUUUAUUUGACUGUUCUGCAGAAUGAAGUGAUGCAGUCCUGAAAAUCAAGCUCUUCACAGUCCUCCCAAAGCACACUCUGUACUGCCCUCCCUUUCCAGGACGUCCUCUCCAUAUUUGGUCCAGUCCAGUCAGUAUCUCUGAACCUACAAUGAAUCACUCUGAGAACUUGGCCGGAAAAGUAGUUUAGUGCACAUUCCAACGAGAUCGCUUCAUCCUGUUCCUCACAUGUUGGCCAGAGUCCAAGGAAACCCAACCUAACAGAAAAACAUCUGGUUUCUAGUUUUUCAGAAAAACAGAGAGGAAGAGAUGGACUUAAACAACACCACUGUGACAAAUCCUUCAGAACAUCCGGACAGUCAAAGAAUCAUCGGAGAGUUCACACUGGAGAGAAACCGUACAGCUGUGACCAGUGUGGGAAGGUUUUCUCUACUUUAAGUAAUCUAAAAAGUCACAAAUAUCUUCACAUGGGGGAGAAACCGUACUGGUGUGAACAGCGUGGGAAAACAUUUACUCACAGUAAAACCCUGAAACGGCACCAAUGCGGUCACGCUGCAUCGCUGUAAACAUUUUUCAGAGCCAAGCUAGCUCUUGCCUGCUGCCUCCUCCUCAUGCUGUGUUAUAUUGUGAGCUUCUCUUUAAACUGAGAGAUAGACAACAGUAACUUUAUAUUCUGAGCAGCAUGUGCGUUAAUGUGUUAACUGUUUCUACUGAUGUUAUUAUGAAUUCGUAAACAAGUGUCAAUGAACUGAAUUUUUGUACAUUUUUAAUACACUUCAGAUCUCAAACCUGUAAAAUAAUAUUUAAAACUCACCGUUCAGCUGCUGGCACUAUUCCACUAGCACUGCGAGGAAGAAGUGCUUCCUUACCGUCCAUUAAUCUGCCAAGUGCUCAUAAUAUCACUUGGUAAAUAAAAUGUAGGGACUUUAGGAGCCGUCAGCCCUUCCUCUCUGAUCUCUCUGGGACGUCCCAGAUGACCACUCUCUCUCUGGGGAAGUCGGAUAUGAAACUCAGCAGAAGGACAUAAAUCCUUGAGAUGAGUUUUAUUAACCCAAGUGUAAAUAAAUGUACAGUCACUGGUUCAGUAA